rnacentral:rRNA from 1 species
UGGGGAAUUUUGGGACAAUGGGCGAAAGCCUGAUCCAGCAAUGCCGCGUGUGUGAAGAAGGCCUUCGGGUUGUAAAGCACUUUUGUCCGGAAAGAAAUGGCUCUGGUUAAUACCUGGGUGCGAUGACGGUACCGGAAGAAUAAGGACCGGCUAACUACGUGCCAGCAGCCGCGGUAAUACGUAGGGUCCAAGCGUUAAUCGGAAUUACUGGGCGUAAAGCGUGCGCAGGCGGUUGUGCAAGACCGAUGUGAAAAUCCCCGGAGCUUAACUUGGGGAAUUGCAUUGGUGACUGGCACGGCUAGAGUGUGGUCAGGAGGGGGGUAGAAUUCCACGUGUAGCAGUGAAAUGCGUAGAGAUGUGGAGGAAUACCGAUGGCGAAGGCAGCCCCCUGGGAUAACACUGACGCU